GUCCUUUUGUAGUUCAUAAGCCUGAUGAUUGGGUUUUCAUGCUUAUGCGUGAGAUGUGUCUCCUACAAAUCUUGUUAAGACAUCAGCACAUUACCCUUCUGACA